UACAGAGGUCUCAAGCGUUGUUCGGAUUCAUUGGGCGUAAAGCGCGUGUAGGCGGAUGGGAACGUCGGUCGCUGAAAUCCCCCGGCUCAACCGGGGAACGGGCGCCGAAACGACCCGUCUGGAGGGACGUAGGGGGACCUGGAACUUCCGGUGGAGCGGUGAAAUGCGUUGAGAUCGGAAGGAACGCCCGUGGCGAAGGCGGCACUCUGGGACGGUACUGACGCUGAGACGCGAAAGCGUGGGGAGCGAACAGG
rnacentral:rRNA from 1 species